rnacentral:misc_RNA from 1 species
UGCUCCAGUUCCUCUUCCCAAGGUUGUCCAUUUUACAUUUGAUAUAGCAGAAAGAUGGUUUUGUGCAUAAAAUGUAUUCUGCAUUAAUGAUUUGCAGCUUGGGAAGUUGAGAAGUUCAAGUCUUAAUAAUGCUUACAAUUAUAGAGAUAAGUUUAUCAUAUUGAGUUUAAAUUAACAAUAAUAAAAAAAAAAUGACAUACCCGUUACACAUCAUGCAGUACACAUAUCUGCUAGUCCUUUUCUUUUGCCGCCAUUUAAAGCUGAUAACAUAUAGUUCCCUUUCCUAAUUAAUGGUCUAUGCUUUGUUUGAAUUAUUGCAAUUGUUUUUAUUCUUUCUUGGAGAGAUACUUGAGCUUUGUUUCUAUUAUUAUUUUUCUUCCUAU